CACGUGCCCAUGAGGCCAGCAAAAGGGUGCCCAAGCAGCACGGAUUCAUUGGACACAGGAAUUUAGAGACAUAAGCAGCCCUCACCCCCAACCCACGGAAAGGUUCCAAGAAAAGUUGGGUCUCCCAUGGCACGUGGGACAGGGUUCAAACCACUGCAUUUAAAUCUCCAGAAAUAAGAUGACCCCAGCUGACAUGUGGGUUAUAAGGACUUAAAAAAACAGCCAUUUGUCUUAAGCCUUCUUCCCUAAGAGCCUGCAGUUGUUUUUCUUGGCCACACCAUUUUGUCCCAGACGCUGAGUGUACUCUGAUAUCACAGCAAGUGACAGGGCUGCAGGCUUCAAAACAGAGGCCUGCUGCUUAGCAAACAAGCCAGAACAGCAGCAGGACCAGCAAUGCCCGUUAGAGGCAGGUGGCCAUGGCAGACAUUGGCAACCAGUCAUGGCACCCAAUCCCUCCCAGCUCAGAUCGAGUUCCAUGAUCCUUCUCAAAUGAACCUUAUUGCCUGCACUUAUCUAGACUCUGGACCCCAGAAUUCACCCAGAGAUUCACAGCCUUGAGUGUGUGUCAGGAUGCCACCCGAGGAUGCACUUAUACACACAACCUUGUUAUGAAGGGGUGUGCGGUACGACUGGGAAGAGGGAGGAAGAGGGACUCAUUGCGAAGAGAGCAGGUAAGGACAUAGCAGGUCCUCCUGUUCUCUGUGGGCUAUUCAGUGAAUGGGCGAAUGUGCAUUCAUUCAUUCUCUCAUUUGAGUACCUACUAUAUAUACAUCAGGGGCGUGAGCAAGAUAGUAACCAACAGGACAGGUGCAGUUCCUCUCCAUAGGGGCAGGAGAGGCAAUCAUAAACCAAAGAGGAACGAAACACUUUCAAUGUGAUUAAAGAAAUAUAAUAACAAAAAAAAAACUACAAUAAUAAGGUCCAAGUAAAUCCUGGCAGCUUUGGGGUUUACAGAGUCAGAGUGAAUCUUAAAGCGAAGCCCAGAUCAGGAUUGAGGCAUUACAGAGUCAGAGUGAAUCUUAAAGCGAAGCCCAGAUCAGGAUUGAGGCAGCUCUCAGCAGAGUGACUGUAGAAGCAGCACAGCCAGGACAGAAUGUGCCAGAGGUAGGUGGUUCUGUUUUUUUUUUUUUCUGCCAGCAUUUUCUCUCCCACUUCCGGCAACAGACCUGACACCCAAGGGGAAUAUGGCCCAAGAUGGCUGCUCACUAUACCCGUCCCUCAGCCACAGUAAUUGGUCCAGGUGUGGACACCUGACCCGAUAUCACCAAUCACAGCAGCCCGCUUCUAAGCCGGGCCACAGUGAUUGGUCCAGGUGUGGACAUGUGACACAAGCAGGGCCAAUCCCAGAUAGUCCUUAACGAGCUGGUGGGAUUGCUUUUCUCCCCUCUCCAGCUUCCAGAGCUACCUGUACCCCGGAGAUAGAGGCCAAUAAGCAGAGAGGAGGAGAAAUGCGAGAUGGGAUGAAGUUAGGGGAAUAGGAGACAUUGGCGCUGCAUUCUGACCCCAGAGCCUAGCCUUCCAGUCUCUGGAUCUAAGAGCAGCUCAGCCUUCGCCUUUCUGCAUGGUAGCUACCCAAGUAAAUAAAUCCCCCAUUUUACCCCAGUAAGAUCCACUCUGGCUUCUGUGUGGUGCAAAGCAUCCCGAUUCUGGAAUUGGAGACUGGUUCCCUCUUCAUGGACUGUGUAAAGCGCAAGGGGACAGGUUCUCCCUCAGAACUCAUUCUCGCCUAGGUGUGCCUGCUGUAUAUGAGAAUAAGAAAAUCUCCAGGCCUAUCUCCACGUGCCGCCCCAUUGACUUCCCACCGAAUCAGAGCUAAACACUGGCUCUGGAACAUGAGUUCCCAUCCUCUUCCUGCCUGUCUCCAUUUCCACGACCUCAUCCCCAACACACGCCCACUUCUCCUCCCACCCUGCUGUCCACCAUGGACAGUGCACGAAGCUUUUGCUGGCCUCUGCUCUGACGCCCACCAUGUUGCAUUUGCAAUGAUUUGUUUUUGGCUGUUCUCCCCAUGAGGGGUGACCCUCAGCCUGGGAGCCCAGGUCUCUCAUCUUUGCAACCCCAGCCGCUGGCACAUGACAGGCAGGCAGCAAGCAUGGGAAGGAGGGAAGCAGAGAAGGAAAAAGAAGGGGAGAGUGGGGGUCUCAUUCCUAUUUAUUCUGGGCCAAUCAGUGGGUUACUUGGAGGGUCAAGUUCCUGUACUCCAGUGUCACCUUCCCAGUGACCUGCACUCUCCCAGUCCCCGUCCUGACCCCUCCCUUCUUCUAUCCUUUCUUAUAUACUCUUUAGCACCUUCCGCGACCAUCACUCCUUCCCCAUGUUCCAUUUAUUUUAUUUACUAUCUCUCUCUCUCACUGAAAUGCCAGCUCCAGGUGGGCAGGUAUCUUUGUUUUUUGUUUUCUGCUGUAUCCUCAACACCUGGAACUCUGCCUGUCACCUAGCAGAUGCUCAAUAAAUAUCCGUGGACGAAUGAAUGCAUUCUUUGUGUUCACCAAAACCACAGUUCUACCAGGCUUGUUUCCUAAAGGACCUGUGCACAUCAUGCAUUUUACAGGUGCUGUGCAAGUCAGGCGACGUAUUCGUUUCCCAGGGCUGCUGUAACAAAUGACAGUUGACCCUUGAACAACAUGGGUUUGACUGAACGGGUCCACGUACACGCGGAUUGUUCUCAAUAAAUAGCUGUACUGUUUUCGACCUGAGGUUGGGAAUCGCAGGUUCAGUAGGCCAACUGUGCGCACCGACCUAUGCCUCUUUAAGGGGACUUGAGCAUCUGUAAAUGUUGUAUCCUUGGGGGCCCUGGAACCAAGCCCCUGAAAAUACCAAGGGACAACUGAGUUUCAGGGAAUCAAAAGUUAUACAUGGAUUUUUGACUGCGCAGGAGGUUGGCACCCCUAACCCUGCAUUGUUCAAGGGUCAACUGUCCUACAAACUGAGCAGCUUAAAACAACAGAAAUAUCUUAUUUCACAGAAGUCCCAAACCUGGCAGGGUUAUGCUCCCCGCAGGUGCCUCAAGGGGUAAUCCAUUCCUUGCCUCUUCCAGCUUCUGGUGGUGCCAAUGUUCUUUGGCUUGAGGCUGCCUGACUCCAAUCUCUGCCUGUCUUACUAGUGUCUUCUCUCUGUGUCUGUCUCUGCUUCUCUCUUCUAAGGACACAUGUGACCACGUUUAGUGCCCAUCCGGAUAACCCAGAAUACACGCCUCCUCUCAAGACCCCUAACUUCAUCACAUUUUUGCCAGAUGAGCUGUGGUCCAGGGCCCUUCAAAAACGUGGUAUUAUCCCCGUGCCCACUAACAACGCAUGUGUGAGGGUGCCUGCUUCCAACACCCUCGCCCACCCUGGUGAGGAUACAGCGUGUCAGGAAACAAACCCCAAGGAGUUGCAGAUAAACCUGCCAGUAAUUUCAGCGAAUGCAACGCGGACCGUGUAAAGGUCAGAGGAUGGAAAACGCUCCAGUUUUGAGAAAAGGAGGUCUGCUCACGUUGGAAGCCUCCCUCCUGCUGGUCAGGAGACACAAAGAUAUAUCCAGAGGGGCUGAUGAAUUGAGGGAAAAGAAACGAGGCCAAUGUGAGUCGCCUUUCAAGGGCUGUGCUAAUAUAAAACCAAACAACUUGAAAUUGUUCCAAGAGGGGAUUAAAGCAACAUGUUAUUUUGA